rnacentral:rRNA from 1 species
UACAGAGGGGGCAAGCGUUAUUCGGAAUUAUUGGGCGUAAAGGGCGCGUAGGCGGCUUGGCAAGUGGAUGGUGAAAUCCCUCGGCUUAACCGAGGAACUGCCGUCCAAACUGCUUUGCUUGAGACCGGGAGAGGUGAGUGGAAUUCCCAGUGUAGCGGUGAAAUGCGUAGAUAUUGGGAGGAACACCAGUGGCGAAGGCGAGUCCCUGGACAUCUCCUGACACUGAGGCACGAAAGCUAGGGGAGCAAACAGG